ensembl:antisense Gm16070 predicted gene 16070
GUCAGAGUGAGGAGCUGGCUGACCCCUGGGGACGCGAGCCCCUAGCUCUGCGACUCAAAGCAAACCUGGGAGGAGCAGUGGGCACGGGCUUCAAAGUUAGCAAAGUGCCCCUGAAAGCAGCUCUCAGAGUUGGGCUCCCGGUGUUCCAGAGAUCUAGGGUGAGGUGGGACAAAGGAAAAACUCCCCGGGGACCUCCUGCUUCAGCUUGCAGAGCCCUGGCGCCAGGCGCUUCCGCCGCUCCUCAGCACUCGGCAUUUAUUGAGGUGCCUGCACAGGCACGUGAUGCCAGAGCCCUCCUUUACCACCCCCACCUCCACCUCCACCCAGUUCUGGCCUGUGGGAGUCGACUUGCAGCAAGCCAGGAUCUUUUGUGGGCGUGCACUGUGCCUUUGUGAGUGGAGGACGGCAAGGUCUGGACCCUGGGGGAAGAGAGCCUCUAGCUUCUCCCACCUCUCUCAGAUCAAACACCCUCCCCCUAAGAUUCUCUCUGAUGGGAUGCUGAAAUUACUUACAGUCUGGUUGCAAAGGAGCUAGCCCCAGAACUUGAGUGUUUUGGAGAUGCCAGUACCAUGAGAUGACCACCAAGAGCAGCAGCAGUGGAGUACAGGCGGCUGGAGCCUAAAAGACAACAUGUGUGCUACAAAGGGCAUGGCUGGAGAAGUGACCCAAGCCCUUGGAGGAACCCAGAAGAUCUAUGAUGAGCUCUGUGGGCUGCAUGGGACUGUCGCAGCUUAACCCAUCUGUGCAUUGUGGGUUACCAUCAUGGAGCAAUCCAAUACUUCUGUUACCUUCACGAGGCGCCCCAUGUGCUGCAGAAGAAAGUAGAGCUCAGUGUGAAAUGCAGCGCUCAUUUAGACCAUGAGGAAGAAGGAACUGGAAGUUCAAAUAGGGAUAGCUUCAAAGGACUCUACUCCAAGUACACAAAUGCUCAUUUAAUUUCUUCAGGAAAAAGAAUUAAAGUGGCUUGGAUAACUCAUCAAGAAAGGCUCUGAGAGUUGUUGGAAAGUGAUUCUAACUUCAUUAGGGACUCAUGGAAGGUGCCCUGUCACUGGGGAUGGCCUGAAGUUAGUAUUGAAACUGCAGAAGAUCUCGUCUUCAUUUUGCUGUCUCACCAUGAGGUGAGUAGGUUUUCUUUUUUUCUAAACCAUGGAUGAAAACCUUCAAUCUGUGAGCCCAAAUCAGCAUUUUUUUUCUUAAUGAAUUAACAACCUCAAUUUUGUAACAUAUAGCUUAAUAUUUAAAAUNNUUUAGAUUUCAAUCUUACAUUUGUUGUAGUUAACCCUGACAUUGCAAUUUAUAUUUAUAAACUUUUAGCCAACACUAACAACCUAUAAGUAUUAACAAAGCAUUGAUGUACAAUACUGCAGCCGUUACUUUGAUUUCAUGUAAAGAAAUCUUUGACAGCUAAUGAAAUUGUUCCUCUAAUUGCAGAAGUGUGUAUGGACAGUAACACACUUAAUUCAGAACACACUGCAGUCCUGAGUCUGCACUGAAGGUUUGGGAGAGUGUUUGCUGGUAUUACACAGUGCAAGUGCUUGCACAUUGCAAAUUACAAAUGUUAUGUGAUUACAACCUAGGCUGCAGUGAACAAACAUGAUAGCUCAUAGGCAAAAACACCUCAUGAUUGCACAUUGAUUUUUGAAUGAAUUUUUGGUUCCUGUGUGUUGAGAAACCGAUUACUAUUGCCAAAUUUAACCCAACUGCCACACUGUAGUAUAUGACCUCCAUAAUGAAAUCCCAAAUUGCAGCUAGGGGUCUAGAUAGCAUAUCCCCUCACUGCAGUAAAGAAGCAGUGGCUAUGGAGACUGCUUUUAGAUUUUAAAGUAAAACAAUGUCAAAGGAUACAUCAUUAGUAGGCAGGGGCAUUAUGAGUUCACUGGGCCUGGGCCAUUGCCAGUUUUUAAAGAGAUGUGAGAAAACUAGUGACCUGAUAUUUCGGUUGAUUCUAGUUGAAUAGAGAGAAUUGCUAGCAGUUCUCAAGACACAGAUACAAUAGCUAAAUUGUUUUGCAUGACUACAGACAUGUACAGAACUCACUGACUUCCUUGGUAUCUUAAAAAGACUUUAUAAUCUGAAAAAUUACAGCAGGGUGUUUACUCAAUGGCAAGGCAUACAAAUAUCAUUUGUAACAAUGUUACAUUUUUUGACAAAAAGGUUUCAUUCACAUUCAAACUUGAAAAGAGAAAAGUAUGUGUGGCCUGGAAAAUCACAUAAUAUUUAUUCUUAGCCUGUGUUUCAUAGUCAUGAUAGUCAGGUUAGAUUGUUCUUACAAAGAUUUACUUUAUGUUUAUAUUCAAGUUUCUCUGCAUACCUACAUAUGCAUAGUGUGCCUGGUGCAUGUGCAGAACAGAAGGCUUGAGAUACCAUGAUACUUGAGUUACAUGCAGUUAUGUGCUGUCAUGUGGGUGCCUGGAAUCAAACCUGGGUCCUCUGAGAGAGGAACAAUUGUGCCUAUGUUUAGCUAUCUCCCCAGCCCCAAAGGUAAAUUUUCUUAAGUUUAAACUUGCUUAGUGAUCAUGCAAGUUCUGGUAAAUCUGUGUUUUUAUUUUUCAGAAAACCAAGGAAGUCUGCUGAUUACUUCAAUAAGGUAGAAGGAGAGGAAAAGAGGGAUGGAGGGAAGAAUAGAUAGUGACAGAGAGGGAGAAGGGGAAAGGAGCACCAGCAUCUCUUUUAAUGUCUCUCCAUUCAUGAAAAGUAUUUAAAAAAAUUAAAUUGACUUUCCCUUUUAGAAUACAAGGGAUCAUUUUCUUACUACCUAGAUUUGCUCAUUCGUUCUUAGACAUAAUCCUGUUGAUUCAAGCAAUAGUGGUAACUCUGACCUUCUGGGUUCUCAUGUCCAUCUCUGCCUUGGCUACCAGUGUAAACUUUAUCUGCUUCUAUUCCUGAGGUGUUUGAAAGAUGUGACCUUAGUUUGCCAGGGGCAGGAGCUUCUUGUUAACUAUAAACAUAUGCUUUUCUUUUUAAUUUCAUUUCACUAAAAAAUGAAAUAAAACAGUGCUGUUUCACAAUGGAGUUAAAAAUGAGGUUGUUAAAGUAACGUUUCUUUCCUCUACCUCCCUCACUGCUUCCCCUCCAUCCUUUACUCCAUAUAAAAUUUAAAAUGCUUACAUUUUGUUCAUUAUUAAUAUGCCUUUUUCUGUGAAGUGGGUGAUUGCAGCUCUACACAAAUAUACAAACACUGGAAACAGCCUGAGUUUCAAUCCACAGAAACUAUAUAAACAAACUGAUACAAUCAAAUAAUGGAAUAACACUUAGAAGUGGGUGAAGAAUCAACUAUUGAUAAAACAACAUAAGUUAAUCCGCAACACCAAGAGGACUGACAGCAUACAGAGUGCAUGCUGGCUGCCACUUCUGUGAAAUUAAACAAACAAACAAACAAAACAUGGGCAAAAGACUUACUUUGGGUUAAAAAUCAAUGACAGUUUCCUGGAAAUGAAAGAUGUCUCUCUAUGAAGCUAUAUACCUCAAUAGGAAUAGGAUUGCUAACAAUUCUAAUUCUUGAAUGACAGCACUUCUCAAAUGUCAUUCUCAUUGUCACAGAUCUUUAACUUACUGAUAGUAAAUCUUCCAUCAGAUUAAGCUAAGUUUACAUUGUAAUUAAUAUCAGAAUGUGGAAUUAUUUACAGAGAGGUACACAGAUGUCUGCAUUAAUCAAAUUUAAAAAAUAAGACAGAGAAAUAAUAAAUAGAUAAACAGAAGGGACUGUUUACAAAGCAGAUAUAGUAAAACUCAUUUAAUUCAGUGUAGAUUAUAAAUAUGUGUUCCUUAUAAAGUACUUUCAGUGAAUAUAUGAAUAUUUUAUAAGAUACUGGAGAAGGUUGAUAUAUCUUUUAAUUAAGAGUACAUUGUCAUCUUCAGCGCUAAUGACAGAGGGUCCCAAGGUCCCCAGAGGACUCUCUACGCCAUAGGCGCCCUAGCACACACUGGAUCUUGGGAUCACUGGAGAGAAUGGAAUACAAUAUCUGUUCCAAAGAAUCCCAAAGGAUCUUGUACCAGCAGGAACAGGGACAAAGAAACAACACCCACCAACCGGCUGGGAUUCUUUCCAUCAGGGCCAGCCCCAUGCCAUCUUGGGUGUGAAUUGGGCAGGCACUAGCACACCCAGGAUCUUGGGAUCACUGAAACCAGUCUACACAGGAGAGCACCUGGGUGGCAGAAGCAAAAGAGCUUCUUAGAAAGGAUCCCUUCAGGCCUUCAUCCUUAGCCAGGAGGCAGAGCUGAGACCCAGAAAUCUGGGCACCUUCCUUGCCAGAGGAGAGUCUUCUUCCAGGGAGGGCUCUGACCUCGGGACUCAAGAGGUGGAUCUGAGCUCCAGAAUUCUGGGCAUCUUCCCUGCAGGAGGAGAGUUUGCCUGCAGAGACUGCUCUAACCGCUGGGACUCAGGAGAGAGUUGGGCUCCAAGGAGUGCUGACAGAGGCUAACAGAAUCACAGGAGGAACAACUUCCAGCCAGAGACAGCCAGAACAUCUAACACAAGAGAUUACCAGAUGGUGAAAGGCAAACUUAAGAAUCUUACUAACAGAAACCUAGACCACUGGAAAUCAUCAGAACCCACUAUGCCCACCAUAACGAGUCAUGGAUACCC